UCAUGGCUCAGAUUGAACGCUGGCGGCAUGCCUUACACAUGCAAGUCGAACGGUAACGGGCCUUCGGGUGCCGACGAGUGGCGAACGGGUGAGUAAUGCAUCGGAACGUACCUUUCAGUGGGGGAUAACGUAGCGAAAGUUACGCUAAUACCGCAUAUUCUGUGAGCAGGAAAGCAGGGGAUCGCAAGACCUUGCGCUGAUUGAGCGGCCGAUGUCAGAUUAGCUAGUUGGUGAGGUAAAGGCUCACCAAGGCGACGAUCUGUAGCGGGUCUGAGAGGAUGAUCCGCCACACUGGAACUGAGACACGGUCCAGACUCCUACGGGAGGCAGCAGUGGGGAAUUUUGGACAAUGGGGGCAACCCUGAUCCAGCCAUGCCGCGUGAGUGAAGAAGGCCUUCGGGUUGUAAAGCUCUUUCGGCCGGGAAGAAAUCGCAUGGGUUAAUACCCUGUGCGGAUGACGGUACCGGCAUAAGAAGCACCGGCUAACUACGUG
rnacentral:rRNA from 1 species